rnacentral:tRNA from 1 species
GGCUCCAUAGCUCAGUUGGUUAGAGCGCCAAUUUAGUAAACUGGAGGUCGAGGGUUCGAAUCCCCUGGAGUCU